rnacentral:rRNA from 1 species
UACGGAGGGUGCAAACGUUGCUCGGAAUCAUUGGGCGUAAAGCGCACGUAGGCGGACUGUUGAGUCGGAUGUGAAAGCCCUCGGCUUAACCGAGGAAGUGCAUUCGAAACUGGCAGUCUUGAGUACAGAAGAGGGUCGCGGAAUUCCCGGUGUAGAGGUGAAAUUCGUAGAUAUCGGGAGGAACACCAGUGGCGAAGGCGGCGACCUGGGCUGAUACUGACGCUGAGGUGCGAAAGCGUGGGGAGCAAACAGG